rnacentral:lncRNA from 1 species
CGCCGGGCGCAGCAAGGGCCAGACUCUGCGCUAGCAGGCGCUGCGCGCCAACCGGCCGGCACCUGUCGCAGAAGGUGCAACCGAUCGCACUGUCGCGCAGAAGCUCCUCAAUGGCCAGCGCCAGCUGCAGCCCCGGCCGCCCACUCGCCUCAUCUGAGCCUGGGCAAAUCUGGAUUGGGAAAGUUGACAUUAAUCAACUCAUUAUUCCUCACAGAUUUGUAUUCUCCAGAGUAUCCAGGUCCUUCUCAGAGAAUUAAAAAGCCUGUACAGCGCUGCUCUAAGCUGUUGAUGAAAAAUAUUGUUGGUGAGCUCUGCUUAGGUAAUAUAUAGGACAUGAGCAGAGAGGAGGCACGUGAACAGUUCUGGCCUGGAGUAGGCUUCAUUGAGGCUGUGAUGCUUUUAGCUGGAUUUGAAGAAGUGGUAGUGAUCAUCCCAGUGCACAGGAUAGGUGGACAGUCUAUGUAUUCUGAGCAGUAACUCAUAUAUCUCAUACUGCAAGACCCCAAAGGAGUAAUUUUGUGAACUCUGUUCACGGAAAGGGCCUGGGAGCUGCAACACCUCAACAGCAACAAGCACACCUGCUACCUAGAACUUGGUUUCUAAAAACCAUCCUCCUCUAAAAGGAAACAGAGCUCUUUGAAGAAACGCAGAAGGUAAGCAUGAGCAAAUUACUUUUUAGAGGUAACUUUGCUGAACUUGUGAAGAAUGGUGUGCAAGGUCCAGAGCGACUGCAGGAGAGGGAAGGUGGGAUUCCCACAGAGCAGGAGCACAGAUAAGCCAAGCAAGGCCCUGCUUGGAAGGCAGCAAUCAACAGAGAUGCACAGACCUGUGAGGGUGCCGGGACAGCCAUGCAACAAUGCAGCCCUUUUGCUUCCUGAGCUCACCAGUUCCCUCGCUCCACCUCUGAGAGGUGGUUUGGAGAAACACAGCCCUUCUCAAGAGGGCUGCAAGAGCAGACCACAAAGAGCAUGUCUGGACCUAGAACCACAGCAUGUAACCUCGGAAGCAGUGAGACACCAGCCAGCAUGGACAAGCAGCAGGCACUUGCUCUAUACCAGAUAGGUCCCACCUCCAGCCUUCCCCUGCUGCCAUCUAACAUCCUAAACUCCAGCUCUGAAUGUCUGUCUCCU